rnacentral:lncRNA from 10 species
UCCGAGGACAACAUAGUAAGGGAUGCUCAUUCAUCUCUCUGCCAGUGCUUUCUGCGGUCUCUUCAGCUAGUUCUAUCAGGCACUUCUGGCAAUCUGGAGCGGCAGCCGGCUGGGCGGCGAGGAAACCGCUGCACGGAUCCCGCCUCCCAGCACACGCAGUCGGCAGUUGCAGCCUCCAAGACCGCGGUGCCACCAAACCAAGCGCCGGACGCGGUGGCGCGCGCCUGUAAUCCCAGCUCCCCGGGAGGCUGAGGUCGGCGGAUCGUGGGUGCUCGGGGGUUCGGAGCUACGGCGCUGUGUGGAGCGGGCGUCCGCACCGGGCCUGGCACCAACAUGGUACUCCCGGGGGAGCCCGGGAGUACCAGGUUGUCUAAGGAGGGGGGGACCAGGCCCAGGCCGGACACGGAGCAGGUCAAACUCCCCGUGUUGGGCGACGGUGGGACCGCGCCUGCGAGCAACGCCUGCAGUUCCGCCCGGGACAUCCGACGAGACCCGGUCUCUUUUAACUUCCCUUUUCGGGAUUUCUUUUAAAAAAUCAACAGCAUUAUUUCUGCAUACCAAGUCCUUGAUCUCUGUGGCUGUGAGACGAUGAAUCUAGGGUGUCACCCCAGACAACGAGGCUGCUUCAAAAUCCCAAAGUCCAAAGGAGGACUGCUUCAUAAGGGAAGGAUUGUUUAUAGGCUGUGCUAUGAUCAAGGCAUUGUGACCCCUGUGACCCACACGUACACAUCCAGAAGGUCUCCUGGAGCCAGAAAGUCUGGGACAACAGGAAAACCACAAAAGAAGAAAAACAGCUCCUGUCUUAGCUGAUUAGCCAACCUUGCGACCUUCUACCAUUGUAACAUGCUCUACCCUAACUGAUCAAUCAACUUCGUGACACUGUGCUCUGUGACCCCUCCCACCUUGUGAUAAUGUACCUUGUGACAUUCUUCCCUUGCCCGCAAUAAACGGGCCCUUAUUGUAUCUUUCCACUGCUUACUCCUAACCUAUAAAACUAGCUGCAAUCCCACCACCCUCCGGUGGUGGGACUCCCUUUUCGGACUCAGCCCGCUCGGACCAGAGUGAAUAAACAGCUUGUUGCUCACACUUAGCCUGUUCAGGUUGUCUCUUCAGUUAGACGCGCGCAUAACACUAACAAUUCACUUAAUAAAUAUUUAUUGAGGGAACAGAGGUCGCAAAUAAAAUGUAAUUAGUAUUGCUCAAGAUUAAACUUCUUUCAGCACGUUUGCCUUUUCUUCUUUUAUCUAGUGAGAUGUUGAAACCCAUACCUAGAGUUCUGCUACAGAAAUAAACGUAUCCCACAGUGUUCUUGCGAUUUCCUUUAUGAAUUUGAGAAAAAUAUGACCCC